UGGUCUAGGCUCACGGCCUGUGGUCUUCGACGGUGCUGGCGCGGGGGCUGGUCUGGCUGGGUGGAGGCUAGGGCUGAGUGAGUGUGUGACAGAGAAGAGACCCUGGGUCUCACAAUGCAAAUUCUUAGAUGAUAGAAUUAGGUGAAUGGGAGAACCCCCUAAGCGUUUCCUGAUCUGUGGAACGAAAAGGCCUUGGGCUUGGCUGAUGGGUUGGCUUUUCUUCCCUGCACCCCUGCACCCCUCAUUCUCG
rnacentral:lncRNA from 1 species